ACGAACGCUGGCGGCAUGCCUAACACAUGCAAGUCGAACGAGACCUUCGGGUCUAGUGGCGCACGGGUGCGUAACGCGUGGGAACCUGCCCUUAGGUUCGGAAUAACUCCCCGAAAGGGGUGCUAAUACCGGAUAAUGUCUUCGGACCAAAGAUUUAUCGCCUUUGGAUGGGCCCGCGUUGGAUUAGCUAGUUGGUAGGGUAAAAGCCUACCAAGGCGACGAUCCAUAGCUGGUCUGAGAGGAUGAUCAGCCACACUGGGACUGAGACACGGCCCAGACUCCUACGGGAGGCAGCAGUGGGGAAUAUUGGACAAUGGGCGAAAGGCUGAUCCAGCAAUGCCGCGUGAGUGAUGAAGGCCUUAGGGUUGUAAAGCUCUUUUACCCGGGAUGAUAAUGACAGUACCGGGAGAAUAAGCUCCGGCUAACUCCGUG
rnacentral:rRNA from 1 species